rnacentral:rRNA from 1 species
UACGUAGGGAGCAAGCGUUGUCCGGAAUCAUUGGGCGUAAAGCGCGCGUAGGUGGCCUCGUAAGUCCGCUGUGAAAGUCAAAGGCUCAACCUUUGAAACCCGGUGGAUACUGUGGGGCUAGAGUACGGAAGAGGCGAGUGGAAUUCCUGGUGUAGCGGUGGAAUGCGCAGAUAUCAGGAGGAACACCAAUAGCGAAGGCAGCUCGCUGGGACGUUACUGACACUGAGGCGCGAAAGCGUGGGGAGCGAACAGG